AUGUUUGCUUUGGUAACACAUAUACUAAAAGUGAAUAAAAAUAAUACAAAGAUUAGCAUGGCCCCAGAACAAGGAUGAUAUGCCAAUUUGUGAAGUGUUCCAUAUUUUA
ensembl:snRNA U6 U6 spliceosomal RNA